rnacentral:rRNA from 1 species
GACGAACGCUGGCGGCGUGCCUAAUACAUGCAAGUCGAACGCUUUUUCUUUCACCGGAGCUUGCUCCACCGAAAGAAAAGGAGUGGCGAACGGGUGAGUAACACGUGGGUAACCUGCCCAUCAGAAGGGGAUAACACUUGGAAACAGGUGCUAAUACCGUAUAACAAUAGAAACCGCAUGGUUUCUAUUUGAAAGGCGCUUUUGCGUCACUGAUGGAUGGACCCGCGGUGCAUUAGCUAGUUGGUGAGGUAACGGCUCACCAAGGCAACGAUGCAUAGCCGACCUGAGAGGGUGAUCGGCCACAUUGGGACUGAGACACGGCCCAAACUCCUACGGGAGGCAGCAGUAGGGAAUCUUCGGCAAUGGACGRAAGUCUGACCGAGCAACGCCGCGUGAGUGAAGAAGGUUUUCGGAUCGUAAAACUCUGUUGUUAGAGAAGAACAAGGAUGAGAGUAAAAUGUUCAUCCCUUGACGGUAUCUAACCAGAAAGCCACGGCUAACUACGUGCCAGCAGCCGCGGUAAUACGUAGGUGGCAAGCGUUGUCCGGAUUUAUUGGGCGUAAAGCGAGCGCAGGCGGUUUCUUAAGUCUGAUGUGAAAGCCCCCGGCUCAACCGGGGAGGGUCAUUGGAAACUGGGAAACUUGAGUGCAGAAGAGGAGAGUGGAAUUCCAUGUGUAGCGGUGAAAUGCGUAGAUAUAUGGAGGAACACCAGUGGCGAAGGCGGCUCUCUGGUCUGUAACUGACGCUGAGGCUCGAAAGCCGUGGGGAGCAAACAGGAU